rnacentral:snoRNA from 1 species
AACACUAUAUUUUCAGGGCUCAUUUCUAUAGUUUAUUUAGAGAAGUUUGCCUGAAUGUUUGAGCAUUGUCUCCUGCAUCUAAAGUGAUUCUAGUGUUGCUUCGGUGUAAAUUCCUUUGAUGAUUGUUCUUUUCCUUUAGGAGAGUAACAGGGAGAGAUCACAAUCUGG